CAGCAGUAGCCGCGGUAAUACGGAGGGUGCAAGCGUUAAUUGGAAUUACUGGGCGUAAAGCGCACGCAGGCGGUCUGACAAGUCAGAUGUGAAAUCCCCGGGCUUAACCUGGGAACUGCAUUUGAAACUGUCAGGCUGGAGUCUUGUAGAGGGGGGUGGAAUUCCAGGUGUAGCGGUGAAAUGCGUAGAGAUCUGGAGGAAUACCGGUGGCGAAGGCGGCCCCCUGGACAAAGACUGACGCUCAGGUGCGAAAGCGUGGGGAGCAAACAGGAUUAGAUACCCCGGUAGUCCCUGUCUCUUAUAC
rnacentral:rRNA from 1 species